GGGGGCGACUGGUUUCGACUGGUAUGUCGGAAGUCUGGAAGCAGGCCGAGCGAUGACCGUAAGUCAUCACUAAAUGAACUGACAACAAUUACGCUCUGGCAGCUUAAUUAAGCGGCCGCCCGACCGAAAGGGAGCGCUCGCAGAUUCGGAAGGGCUAUCAACGCGGGCGACGUAUGGUGUUGUCUCGGAUGGGAAACGAUAGUGUUCUGUCGAUCACAGAUCGUUUCUCCCGUAGUUAAAGAGAUCGACUAAGCCUGUAGCCGUCCAUUCAUACACGACAUGUUAGGACCGGGGUUCGAAUCCCCGCGCCUCCACCA
rnacentral:tmRNA from 1 species